rnacentral:lncRNA from 1 species
GGGCCGGCCUUGGUGCCGUAGACCCUAUCGAUAUAGUGAGGAUAACUCACCUCGCAGAUGUCGAUAGAAAUGCAAACUCCAACUAUCGGAUCACUUGACACCGGCUCCACCACCUAUAACCAUAGCACAAUAUACUCAUAAGUUCUUACUCUUAUGAGACACCCCAUAACCUACUAGUCAAUCCCUGAUCAAGGUCAGAGUCCUUGGUAAAGGUCAACAGUUCAUGUUGACCUCAACUCGUCGAGUACACUCGGCGGCUUGCCGAGUCUUUGAAGCACAUACCAACUCGCCGAGUCAUCGGGGUGACUCGUCGAGUUCCUUCGAAUCCUGAUCAAGUCUCAAGGUCGCCCGUCGAGUUUCCUCCUUGCAACUCGAUGGGUAUACAUGCAAACAUAUCCUUGGCUAAAACUCAUACAACUCGCCGAGUUGUUCUUCAACUCAUCGAGUUUCAUGACCAUGUUCAUCUAACUCGCCGAGUUGUUCAACCAACUCGUCGAGUUCACGGCUUCCUUCAACUGACUCGCCGAGUUGUUCAUCCAACUUGCCGGGUCUAAUGCAUAUCUUCAUAUGACUCGCCGAGUCGGCUUUGCGACUCGCCGAGUUCCUUCAGUUAAUUUAACAUGCAGACGUCUAUAAGCCAUGGCAAGGUACCAAAUUGUAGAUCUACACUACAAGAAAAAGACCCUUUUACGACGCGCAAACUACGACACUCGCUGAUUUAUGUUACGCAAAAGAGAGUGACAUUAAAAAAGCGUCAUCUCUUCAAAAAAUUUAAGAAUUUAGGUCACGCAUUAUUGCAUGCCCUUCAAUUAGUGUCUCAUGUAAAAAAAUUAAAAACACGGAGGGCACUUGUGCAUCCUCUGUGAAUGUUGUUUUAUAUAUUUUUUUAAGAAACGCGCUCCUUAGAGGGAAAAUGAAAUCCCCAAAUUUUUUCAACCCCCGCCUUCUUCUCCCUCGUCUCUACCCCUCUGUGAAUGUCGAUUGUAGCGUCGAUCGACAACUACGACUCAUCAGCCGUCAAUCGAAGCUACCAGAUAAACAACCCCUCCACCUUCUCGUUUCUCCUUUCCACCAGGUUUUCUUUAAUCGUUAUCCUCCACCUUCCUCGAUUGCAGAGGCAUCGUUUUAUAAUUCUUUUACCAAAAGCGCAUCCACUAUCCUCAAUUACAAAAGACGUCCAAAUCUAGGGCUUUUUUCAUAAAAUCUCAUUCCACCUCACCUCACACGCACCUCUACACAAUCGACUGUCACCAUCAUUCCUACCAUCCACUGCCGCCCUGCCAUCUCUUCCAUCACCACCACUUUCAUAUGGAAAACUUUCAAGAAGCCUCGUCUUCCAUAUGAAGAGGAACGACCAGAUGCACUAUGGAGGGUUACCACCAAGUCAACCCAUAUUCACUCUUAAACCUCUUUAGUUUACAUUUCAGGUCUCUCUCUCUCUCUCUCUCUCUCCCUUUCUUUCUCUCUCCCCCAUCUUCAAACCACCAGAGAAUUGAUUGAUGCGAUCUGUGUUUCUUGUUGAACUUUGAGGUUUUUCUUCAAUCUGUAGGGCUGUAGGCUCACAUAGAGGAAAACGUUCAUGCUUAUAAUUCCUUUACAAUUUUUUCCUGUUGAGACUUGAAAAUUUAGGAAAUCGUUUGUAAAUCUGGUGUGUUUUAAAAUUAAUUGAAUUCACUAUGUCACUAGACUUAUAGAGGCCGAGUUCAGAUGGUUAUAUUAGGUGGACUUUCUUUCUUACAAGAGAUAAAGAGGAAGGAGAAGAAGACAUAGGCGUGAUCUACAACCACCUGCUCCAGCGGUGACUCCCACUCCACCUCCCGUCUACCAUAACUAGGAAAUCCUAGAAAUUAGAAAACCCUUCUUUGGGAGAUUUAGGGUUCAGACUUCAUUCCAUCUCUCACUCUCCGCCAUUUUUGUCCACGAGUGCUGCAACACCGUUGUCACCAUCUAUUCCAUCACCCACCACAGUUGAAAUUGAUGAAACCCUACCUUCUCCUACUUUCAAUGCCUCAAAAUGGGUUGUACAUGUCGACGUUUCUUGUUUUAUUAUCCGAUUUCUCUCAAAAUCAAAUCGACCCAAAACCCUAGUUCUUGUUGCUUAAAUCAAUUUCAAAGGCGAACCUCCGACUUCAUUGCUUCUGUGAAACAGUUGAUCCCUGAAACUACUGAUGAACUAUGCAUACACUAUUGAGGUAUUUUCAUCACUUUUAAAACAUGAUUUAGCUUAUUGCAUAUAGAUAUUGUUGGACCUGCUAUUCCACACGCAUAUAGAUUUUGUUGGACCUCCUACCCCAGUUUGUUGAUCUUUGAAUUAUAUGUUUAUGGAUUGCAGAACGGUGUUUAAAUAGCCAUCCAAAGCAACAUCCUACAAUGGCUGAGGUUAUGGUCGGACUCAAUUCUAUACUAUUUUUACAAGAGAAAACCAAUAAUACAUUGCACCUUGCAAGCAUGACCAUAUUCGGUAGAAAGAUGCCAAUGUUUCUCUUCCAUUCAAAUGGGGAAAACCAAGGUAUGAUUCUAUUUUCAUCAUUAACAUAUUCAGUUUAUAUAUCUGCAAUUACCAGGGUUUAUAUAUCUGCAAUUACCAGGGUUGAAGUAGGCCACUCAGAUAGUGCUAGUGCAGUUUACCGUUUUUUUAUAUCUACAAUUCCAAGUUGUACUUUUACACAUCUUUAUUUAUUCUUUGUAUUUUGUUCUGGAUCCUUAUUUCCUUACACAUAUAUGAUUGCUUCCUCUGCUUUUAUUCAUGUAAACAAGACUAAAAGACUUCUUGCUAGGAUUGAUUGUUACAUACCUUUCUCAUACUCCCUAAACAAAAUUGGGAUAUUAAUGUUAUGAACUGGGUUAUAACAACAGAUUCAAUAACACAAAAAGCAACAACAACUUCAAAUAUUGAUUGAUAACCUCAAAUAUACCCCAAAGAUUACAAGAACAAUGAUAGUUUAGCUUAUUCGAGAUAGCCAAUCUCCCAAGGAAUAAAUUCCAGAUUUCACAAAAAGAUUGAUACCUCCCUUUCUAUCCCACUACCCUCUUAUACUAUCUGUCAUAACAACUAAACAAUAUAAAAUACCCAUAAUGCCCCUAUACUAACAAGAUGCUCUUUAUUUGAUGAUUUCCCCAAACUACCCCUAUCUAACUUAUUUGCCUAAUAUCAGAAGUAUAACAAUACCCCACCCCAAAAGAACCACCUUGUCCUCAAGGUGGAUAAAAUUAAUGCAUAACACCCAAAUUCUCUCGGGUGGCCUCUUUUUCUUGACUUCAGCCUUGCCAUGAUCUACAACCACCACAUAUAUUCCACCCACUUGUUCCAUUGCACUUAUGAUCAUCAUAACAGCUUCCUCAUCAGCCUUGCAAGCUGUAGUCUCAACAUUGCCAAUAUGCAAAUUCUUGAGCUCUUCAUGUUCAACUUGAUUCUUUCCUCUUCGUAUGGUCACCGCUUGAAAAUACCACCCCCCAACUCCAAACUUCUCUAGGAACUCCACAUUCGUCCUCAUACUUUGUUUUUCCAUGGCUAAAGAGUUAGUACCCUCUUUCCCUGGCCAAAUUUUAGUAGCCGCACCCUUAGAAAUAGUUCCAACAUUGUCAAUCAUGUCACCCAAUAUAAAAACUUUUCCUUUCCCAUUGCAAGUUAAGUUCAUCACCUCAGCCACAUUCCGUCUACAACCCUUUUUUUUUAUUAAUUUCCAAAGGUGCACCAGAUAACUUUUUGGCAAAAGCACUCGCCCUAGCAACUCCACCAACAUCAGGUGACAACAUUACCAAUUCAUGUGAGCAAAUUGACUUGCUGGCAAGAUAAUCAAGGAUACCAUGCUGACAGUAAACAUGGUCAACUGAAAUAUCAAAAUAACCCAUUGACUGCCCAGAAUGAAAAUCACAAGCAAGAACACGAACUGCACCUUCUUCCAUCAUGAGAUUGCAUACUUGUUUUAUAGCAAUAGAUUCGUGCCAUUGAGUCUUUCUAUCUGCUUCAACAUAUCCAAAAUAAGGGGUAACUGCUGUUAUGUUUUUGGCUAAUGCCCUUCUACUGACAUCAAUUGUUACUAGAAGCGUCAUGAGAAUUUCAUAUGCAACUGAUCCCAUAUCUAUUUUAGCUAAUUCUUUUAUACACAACCAGAAAUUAUCUUGCACUAUCUUCUCAACCAUUUCAAACGCCAAGUGUACAACGUUUUUAUGGUUAUCAUAAGUUGUUGCUAUGAAGACUCUGAUCAUGUUUUUUAAUCCGGACUUGACAUUUUUGACAUGAGACUGAACCAUUUUAAAGACACCUCUGUUGUUCAAUUCUCUAAUUAUAACAGUAGCAACAUCACAAACAGACCAAGGAAAGUAAGAAUUAGGCAUGGAUUUUUUAUCUUUUGCUCGGAGGGCAUUUACUAGCCCCUUUUCCUUAUAAUCCCAUUGCAUUUCUCUGCCUUCCCUCACAAAGGAUGAUUGGAUUUUAACUCUCAAGUAGUCGCUGUUUUGAGAGAAGUAAAUAUCUGGUGCAGUUGGUUCUAUUAAGAACCGCUUACAGAAUGCAACCCACUUCCUUGCAGACUUGGUAAUUUUAUCAAGAGAUCCCAAUAGAGCGUCGCCCUUCAGCUCUUCAGCUCUUCAGCUCCUCCCAAUCUCGUAUGGGCCGCCUCCUAUGCUCCCAUUCAUACCACAGUAGAGCGUCGCCCUCCAAAGCCUCCACCUCCGCUUCCAUUGUUUCUUCAUUGUUAUAACAAGAGAAUGACUUUUCCAGUUGAAGAAUCCACUCAUCUGGGUUUAUGCCAUCAAAUGAGAGCACCUCAUGUUUGUGAAAUCUCCGGCUGGUCGCUCCUCCAUUGAGAUAUGUUCCCUCAUUCUUUCCUUCCAUUUCUGGUGGAGGUGUUUGUGGAGACAGGUGGCUGGAACGGCUGAAAUCUUCUUCCUCCUCAGCUGAAGAAUGGUUAUUCUCUAACUCUAAUUCUUCUGAAUUUGAUGAACGGAGACUUCUACGUUCCUUCCCUGUCUUUGUCAUCUUCUCUAUAAUACGCGAGAUUUCUUCAUUGAAAUUUUGUUGCAUCUUUGCCAUGGAAGACUGCAGUUCUUUAACCAAGGAAAAUUGCAUUUCUUUCAAUCUUUCUUCUACUUCUUCUUCCCUUCUAGGAUCCAUGCUCUGAUACCAAUUGUUAUGAACUAGGUUAUAACAACAGAUUCAAUAACACAAAAAGCAACAACAGCUUCAAAUAUUGAUUGAUAACCUCAAAUAUACCCCAAAGAUUACAAGAACAAUGAUAGUUUAGCUGAUUCGAGAUAGCCAAUCUCCCAAGGAAUAAAUUCCAGAUUUCACAAAAAGAUUGAUACCUCCCUUUCUAUCCCACUACCCUCUUAUACUAUCUGUCAUAACAACUAAACAAUAUAAAAUACCCAUAAUGCUCCUAUACUAACAAGAUGCUCUUUAUUUGAUGAUUUCCCCAAACUACCCCUAUCUAACUUAUUUGCCUAAUAUCAGAGGUAUAACAAUAAAUUGGUCGCAUUGUAAAAAGGUUAAGUAGAUAAAGACGUUUGGUUGACCUUUCAACAAUUAAUCAUCUAAUUGUUGGGUAUCUUGUCAUGUGAAUAAAAUUUCCAGUGCCAUUUUAUUUUGACACAGAGUAUAUUGAAUAUUCCCUCCCAGAUAAGAAACCCCAAUUGAUGAACAUGUGUUCAGAAAAUUGACUAUAAUUUAUUGUUGAUCAAGGCAUUGGUGGAUGAUAGUCAUAUACUUGUCUGAACCAGUGUUUAUAUAAAGUGUUUGGGGAGUAUUGACAAACCCUUUGACAUUGCUCCAUUUGCAAAACCUUUUUUUUGUGUACAUAAUUAUUUAAAGUUAACCUUUGUUUUUCUUUGCUUCUAGUUAUAUCAAAACCUAUUUUAUCAACUUAUUCAUACAUAGAAAUGCUUUCAGGGUUUUCUCUUCUUGUAGCUAUCUAUUGUACAUCACUAAUAAGGAAUUUUUUUUAUCAGUAAGUAAAUAUUAUAAUUAUAUUAGCUAUGUAUAUUAAAAUAUAUUUUAAUCUUGUUAUGCUGUUGUACAGGUGACAUUGGUGACUGGAUUCUUCAUUUUGUUAAAUAAACUUUAGAAAGGUAUGAACACAUCACCCUGCAAACAAUGUUGGUAUUCCGUCUUUCAGAAAAACUUCAUCCCUCUUAUGUUGCUCUAGUUGUGACUUAGAUGUCAUAGACUAUAUACAUUAUUAUAAUUUAUACCAAAACAACUUAAGUAUGCUUACUUACUGUCACAACUGGAAAUUUUGUGCCAUGUAAUCUAUACAUUCAAGCUAAUGUGAAUCAAAAACUUAAGAACAUGAUUGACACCUACUAUUAUGACAUCAAAAACUUCAAUCAAAUACAUCAUACAAGUACUACAAAUAGUCAUCUAACAAUUGGAGACCCUAGAAGUCCUUGUUUAAGUCCAUUUUGGACUAGGACUCCCUUAUUGGAUCCAAAUGGACCAAUAAGCUUCCAAUCAGACUAUCAUGGGCUUAGAACCCUAAUUGGGCUCUAAUUGGACCCACUAAUUUAUUUCAAACAUUUUGGGCCAUGUUGGGCCUAGAAUGAAAUGAAUUAAAAGCCUUGAUACAUGAAUAACCUAAACUAGUCCAAUAAAAAUAUAAAAAUUCUACCACAUUCUUUUAGACUUAAAACAUACCCAAGAUUAACUCUAAUAUUGGGCUUAGGGGCAAAGGCCC